GGCGUUGAGGCUCAGCUGGCUAAAGCAUCUGCCUCAGAAGCAGGGGAUCCUGGAGACAACCCUCAGCAGUGCCU
rnacentral:tRNA from 1 species